GACGAACGCUGGCGGCGUGCUUAACACAUGCAAGUCGAACGGCAAGGCCCUGCUUUUGUGGGGUGCUCGAGUGGCGAACGGGUGAGUAACACGUGAGUAACCUGCCCUUUACUUUGGGAUAACUUCAGGAAACUGGGGCUAAUACCGGAUAGGAGCUCCUGCUGCAUGGUGGGGGUUGGAAAGUUUCGGCGGUUGGGGAUGGACUCGCGGCUUAUCAUCUUGUUGGUGGGGUAGUGGCUUACCAAGGCCUUGACGGGUAGCCGGCCUGGGAGGGUGACCGGCCACAUUGGGACUGAGAUACGGCCCAGACUCCUACGGGAGGCAGCAGUGGGGAAUAUUGCACAAUGGGCGGAAGCCUGAUGCAGCAACGCCGCGUGCGGGAUGACGGCCUUCGGGUUGUAAACCGCUUUCGCCUGUGACGAAGCGUGAGUGACGGUAAUGGGUAAAGAAGCACCGGCUAACUACGUG
rnacentral:rRNA from 1 species